rnacentral:rRNA from 1 species
ACUCCUACGGGAGGCAGCAGUAGGGAAUCUUCCACAAUGGGUGCAAACCUGAUGGAGCAAUGCCGCGUGAGUGAAGAAGGUCUUCGGAUCGUAAAGCUCUGUUGUUAGAGAAGAACACGUGCUAGGUAACUACUAGCGCCUUGACGGUAUCUAACCAGAAAGUCACGGCUAACUACGUGCCAGCAGCCGCGGUAAUACGUAGGUGACAAGCGUUGUCCGGAUUUAUUGGGCGUAAAGGGAGCGCAGGCGGUCUGUUUAGUCUAAUGUGAAAGCCCACGGCUUAACCGUGGAACGGCAUUGGAAACUGACAGACUUGAAUGUAGAAGAGGAAAAUGGAAUUCCAAGUGUAGCGGUGGAAUGCGUAGAUAUUUGGAGGAACACCAGUGGCGAAGGCGAUUUUCUGGUCUAACAUUGACGCUGAGGCUCGAAAGCGUGGGGAGCGAACAGGAUUAGAAACCCGAGUAGUCCCAUGA